UAGAAAGUAGUUUAACAGGUAAAACGAAGAACUUUGACUUCUUUGCUAUGGGUUCGAUUCCCAUCUUUUUAA
rnacentral:tRNA from 1 species